GACAGAGGGUGCAAACGUUGCUCGGAAUCACUGGGCGUAAAGGGCGCGUAGGCGGUGCGGUAAGUCACCUGUGAAAUCUCCUGGCUCAACUGGGAGCUUGCAGGCGAAACUGCCGUGCUGGAGUGUGGGAGAGGUGCGUGGAAUUCCUGGUGUAGCGGUGAAAUGCGUAGAUAUCAGGAGGAACACCUGUGGCGAAGGCGGCCGGCUGGGGGUGCCCUGACGCUGAGGCGCGAAAGCGUGGGGAGCGAACCGG
rnacentral:rRNA from 1 species